GUCUCCUUUGGCCCAUAAAAGGUUACAUUUUCCAGCCAAUUCAGCAAAUUUUGGGUAAAACAAAAGUUAGCCGUCAUCUCUUGCACAUUCCACACAAACAGUGAAAGCCCAAUUGCAAAAUAGCGCCCUCACACGGAAGGAAUCUGUUCCAACCAACUGUACAGUGUCUUAAAACACAUUCCACAUCAGAUUGCCCACCUCUAUUCUACAGCUCGCUCUUGCGGCUUCCUCUGCCAGAUUUAUAUAAACUUAUUGUGCUCUUCCACCAUUUCUGCUCGCCUAUCGGCGCACCGUUGCAGGCACUAAACCUGCAACUGCUAGUAGUAUUGAUUUUUAAGGACAAGUGGUCACAUCUGGGAUGUUAGUAUUGAGUUUUUUUUGGAACACCUGUGGUUUGUUACAUUGCCACCUCUUGCCAAUACACUCUUAUUAUCUUUGGUCAUAUUUUCAACAAUCAUAGCUUUGGAUAUCUUAAGGGUACAUAUUGCUCUUGUACGAAGAUGAAGGGAAUGUGUCGCUUUUUAGAGAUGACACAUGACCUAUUGGUUGAUAUGGGAUAGAUUUUUAGUUUUAUAUUUUUUCUUUUCAAAAUCAAACUAAGGUGUUGCAGUCUAUAAUGAGAAGAAGAAGAAGACAAUUUUAACGUU